GGCUGUGUAACGGGAGUCACGUCCUUUAUCUCACAGAAGCCGAAAGUAGAUCAGCCUAGCAUGACAUUUUACUCCUGAAAAAAAAAGGACACUGUUGACAAAGGUCCUUCUGUCACAGUUUAAAUAGAUGGAGAAACUGAGGCAUAUAGAGGUGAAAGACCUGCCAAGAACCACACAAAAUUGAUCAAGUGACAAAUUGGAGUUACAGCUGCGGACACCAAACCCUGGGAGGAGCGUCAGCAAUUGCCUGACGCUCCUCCCAGAACACUCCGUUCUCAUGGUCUCAUCACAGCCGUGGCUUUGGGCUUCAG
rnacentral:lncRNA from 1 species